AAGAAGCACCGGCUAACUACGUGCCAGCAGCCGCGGUAAUACGUAGGGUGCGAGCGUUGUCCGGAAUUACUGGGCGUAAAGAGCUCGUAGGUGGUUUGUCGCGUCGUCUGUGAAAUUCCGGGGCUUAACUCCGGGCGUGCAGGCGAUACGGGCAUAACUUGAGUGCUGUAGGGGAGACUGGAAUUCCUGGUGUAGCGGUGAAAUGCGCAGAUAUCAGGAGGAACACCGAUGGCGAAGGCAGGUCUCUGGGCAGUAACUGACGCUGAGGAGCGAAAGCAUGGGUAGCGAACAGGAUUAGAUACCCUGGUAGUCCAUGCCGUAAAC
rnacentral:rRNA from 1 species